GUGAAGAAGGCCCUCGGGUUGUAAAGCACUUUCAGCGAGGAAGAACGCCUGUCGGUUAAUACCCGGCAGGAAAGACAUCACUCGCAGAAGAAGCACCGGCUAACUCCGUGCCAGCAGCCGCGGUAAUACGGAGGGUGCAAGCGUUAAUCGGAAUUACUGGGCGUAAAGCGCGCGUAGGUGGCUUGAUAAGCCGGUUGUGAAAGCCCCGGGCUCAACCUGGGAACGGCAUCCGGAACUAUUAGGCUAGAGUGCAGGAGAGGAAGGUAGAAUUCCCGGUGUAGCGGUGAAAUGCGUAGAGAUCGGGAGGAAUACCAGUGGCGAAGGCGGCCUUCUGGACUGACACUGACACUGAGGUGCGAAAGCGUGGGUAGCAAACAGGAUUAGAUACCCUGGUAGUCCACGCCGUAAACGAUGUCGACCAGCCGUUGGGUGCCUAGCGCACUU
rnacentral:rRNA from 1 species